rnacentral:tRNA from 1 species
GGGGUUGUGGCUCAGUGAUAGAGUGCUUGCCUAUUAUGCAUGAGGCACUGGGUUCGACCUCCAAUACCACA